ACAGUUUUGAUAUCAGUACAUUCACAGAAUCUACAUCAGCAGAUCAAGAGUCUAUGUUUUCUCCUCAUAUAGAUAUCCAUGAUGCAUGUUUAAAAAAAAUCACAGAGUUAAAGUUGGAGAACAAGCAACUUCAACAAGAACUGGCAAGGUUGCAGACAGAAAGAGAUGAUCUUGGAAACACCAUCAAUCAAGUCAAAUUUGGAGUGAAGACUAUUGAAAACAAUGACAGUCGUGUUUCAUUCUUCACUGGUUUACCAUCAUUUGCUGUGUUUUCAUGGUUACUUACUUUUCUUGUGUCUGUACUUCCAAAAUCACAGUGUUUAGAUCCAGGAAAUGUACUGUUAUUGAUUUUAAUGAAACUCAAGGUGAAUCUGUUUAAUCAAGACCUAGCUGUGAGAUUUUUUGUGUCAGAAGCACAUGUGUCAGAUCUUCUUAAUAAAGGACUCCCAACUUUAGCUACGCAUCUCCGUUUUCUGAUACAGUGGCCUGGGAAAGAGGAAAUAAUUUGUUCUACUCCAACAGUUGUGAAACAACUAUUUAAAAACUGCAGGUGUAUAAUAGAUUGUACUGAAAUCUAUAUUGAGCGUCCAGGGAACUUGACAGCCCGUGCGACUACUUGGUCAAAUUAUAAACAAAACAAUACACUUUAAGUUUUUGAUAGGGAUCAAUCCAUCAGGCUGUAUAACAUUUUUAUCAAAAGCCUUUGGGGGCAGGACAUCCGAUAAGGUAGUUACACAAAGAUCAAGAUUCUUAGAUUUGAUAGAAAAUGGGGAUGUUAUUUUGGCAGACCGAGGAUUCUUAAUCAGUGAGGAUCUUGCCUCUCGAAAUGCAACUUUGGCAAUUCCUGCUUUCACAAAGGGAAAACUACAACUGAGCCAGAAAGAUGUUGAGAUGACAAGAAAAAUUGCUAGAGUAAGAAUUCAUGUGGAGCGUGCAAUUGGACGCUUUAAAAUGUUUCGCAUUUUGAGUGGAGUCAUGCCAAUAGCUUUAGUUCCCCAUUGUGACUCAGUAUCUGUGAUAUGUGCUGCAUUGUGCAACUUGCAUCCAAGUUUAGUUAACAAUUAACUGUGUCUCAUGACAUAAAGAAAACAAGACCAUCUGUUAUGUAACUAAAAGAAAACAAUAAGGCUGAAGUGUAGACAUGGUGUAUGUAUAUAUUUUUGCAAUAAAUUAUUGAGAUAAAUACAUGUAUGAUAUACAUUGUAUUGUCAGAGAAAUAAACAUAUAACUGAGCAUUGCUUAUGUCUUUCAAAAUCUGGACAAUAAUUUUUGUUAAGGUACUUAUAAAAUAAUGUCCAUCCAGUUAUAUUACUAUAUUUCACACAUUU